rnacentral:rRNA from 1 species
CGCGUGGGGAUCUGCCCAGAGGUUCGGGACAACCAUUGGAAACGAUGGCUAAUACCGGAUAAGCCCGCAAGGGGAAAGAUUUAUCGCCUUUGGAUGAACCCGCGUAAGAUUAGCUAGUUGGUGAGGUAAUGGCUCACCAAGGCGACGAUCUUUAGCUGGUCUGAGAGGAUGAUCAGCCACAUUGGGACUGAGACACGGCCCAGACUCCUACGGGAGGCAGCAGUGGGGAAUAUUGCACAAUGGGGGAAACCCUGAUGCAGCCAUGCCGCGUGUGUGAAGAAGGCCUUCGGUUGUAAAGCA